AAAAGCUCAAAUUUGAAAUCUGGUACUUUCAGUGCCCGAGUUGUAAUUUGUAGAAUUUGUCUUUGAUUAGGUCCUUGUCUAUGUUCCUUGGAACAGGACGUCAUAGAGGGUGAGAAUCCCGUUUGGCGAGGAUACCUUUUCUCUGUAAGACUUUUUCGAAGAGUCGAGUUGUUUGGGAAUGCAGCUCAAAGUGGGUGGUAAAUUCCAUCUAAAGCUAAAUAUUGGCGAGAGACCGAUAGCGAACAAGUACAGUGAUGGAAAGAUGAAAAGAACUUUGAAAAGAGAGUGAAAAAGUACGUGAAAUUGUUGAAAGGGAAGGGCAUUUGAUCAGACAUGGUGUUUUUUGCAUGCACUCGCCUCUCGUGGGCUUGGGCCUCUCAAAAAUUUCACUGGGCCAACAUCAAUUCUGGCAGCAGGAUAAAUCAUUAAGAAUGUAGCUACUUCGGUAGUGUUAUAGCUUUUUGGAAUACUGUUAGCCGGGAUUGAGGACUGCGCUUCGGCAAGGAUGUUGGCAUAAUGGUUAAAUGCCGCCCGUCUUGAACCACCCGAGAACCA
rnacentral:rRNA from 1 species